rnacentral:rRNA from 1 species
GAUGAACGCUAGCUACAGGCUUAACACAUGCAAGUCGAGGGGAAACGCCAUCGAAAGCUUGCUUUUGAUGGGCGUCGACCGGCGCACGGGUGAGUAACGCGUAUCCAACCUGCCCAUCACUUGGGAAUAACCUUGCGAAAGUAAGACUAAUACCCAAUGAUAUCCCACGAAGGCAUCGGAAUGGGAUUAAAGAUUUAUCGGUGCUGGCUGGGUAUGCGUCUGAUUAGCUUGUUGGCGGGGUAACGGCCCACCAAGGCAACGAUCAGUAGGGGUUCUGAGAGUAACGGCCCCGACAGUGGAACCGGGCAACGGGCCAAACACAUACGGGAGAGAGCAGUGAGGGAUGUUGGUGAGUGGAAGAGAGCAUGAUCCACCCAAGUAGGAUGCAGGAAGGCGGCGUUAGGGGUUGUAACCUGCUUUUAUUAGGGAACAAACUGGGUCACGUGUGAGUUUUUGCAGGUACCUUAUGAAUAAGGACCGGCUAAUUACGUG